rnacentral:rRNA from 1 species
UCGAGAAUCUUCCGCAAUGGGCGAAAGCCUGACGGAGCGACGCCGCGUGUAGGAUGAAGGCCCUCGGGUUGUAAACUACUGUCACGGGUUAUGAAUGUGCAUAUGUUAACAGCGUGUGUAUUGACGUAAGCCCGAAAGGAAGCACCGGCUAACUCUGUGCCAGCAGCCGCGGUAAUACGUAGGGGGCGAGCGUUGUCCGGAUUUAUUGGGCGUAAAGAGCUCGUAGGCGGCUCAGUGAGUCGGAUGUGAAAACUCGGGGCUCAACCCCGAGACGCCAUCCGAUACUGCUGUGGCUUGAAUCUGGUAGGGGAGAUCGGAAUUCCUGGUGUAGCGGUGAAAUGCGCAGAUAUCAGGAGGAACACCGGUGGCGAAGGCGGAUCUCUGGGCCAGUAUUGACGCUGAGGAGCGAAAGCGUGGGUAGCAAACAGGAUUAGAUACCCACGUAGUCCCUGAGCGGGCUGGCAAGGCGCAU